rnacentral:sRNA from 1 species
UUAAGCAAAUACUUUAGUGGCAUACCCUGAGACAUAUUUUAGAGGCAUACUUUUGAGCAAAUACCUAUGGGAAAUAUUUUUGGGGACAUAUUUUGGAGACAUACUUUGGGAGCAUAUUUAGCGAACAUACAUAUGGGACAUAUUUUGGUUUAUAUUUUAAAAAUAUACUUUAGCAUACUUUGAGGACAUAGUUUGAAAACAUAUAUUCAGGACACACUUUGAGAACAAAUUUUGGGGACAUGCCUAGGGUACGAAGUUUGUGGACAAAAUUUUGGGACAUAUGUACUUGGAGGAAAUAUUAUGGGUCAUUCUGAAGACAUGGUUUGGGUUUAUACAGAUUGUGAUUUACUUUGGGGACUUUCUUUCUAUUUUUUUUUUAUUUUGCUUUUUAAUUUCUGCUUUAAGCCUUUUUCUUUUUUCCCAAAAUUAUCAUAUAUCCCCACCUACCACAAUGCCAUUUGCUUUGAUUUUUAUGUCAUGGUAAUAAAAUGUCAAUGUUGGCAUUCAUGCAGAGUGUCACAAAGAUUUCAUUGACGUAUAUACAGCUGCAUAUACUCACACACAGACAUUUCCUUCCGUCUAUGUGAGUGGGUGAGUGAAUAAAGAGGCCCUCGAUCUUGGGUUAAAGUAAGCCAAAGGAAAUUGUUUACAUUUCAUUUCCGGCUCCAUUACAUGGACACACAACUAACGAUUGCAAUAAAAGCAAAUCUUUACUUCCUGAAGCUGUAGAUUCAAUUGUUUUUUUUUUCUUCUUUGCAUUCUUAAAUCAAUGAAACGUAAAAGAAAAACAAAACAAAUUCAAGGCCUUUGAUGAAGGAAAACUUCUCUGGUGGGUGAAGACCUUGAAAAUUCCCAUUUUUGUGAUUGUGUCCCAAAGCAGAGAUAGAGUUGGUGUGAAAACUUAAGCUGCAUACACAGAAAUUUUGAAAAACGAAUCUUCUUAAUCGCCUAAAGAAAAAUAAGAAAAAUCAGGGAGCAUACAAAGUAAGCAUCCAUUUUGAUAUACACUUGUGGUCCCCUGCAUUUCAUAUUUAAAUGUCAAGGCAAAACGCAUGACAUGAGCAAGGACAAGUGCCGAUUAGAAGAAGGAGCAGCACCCAACGAAAACCACUUGUUGAUGUGUGUAUUUGCCACUUGGUUGUUUGUGUUUAAAACCGACCUAAUUCGAAAAUGAUAUUAUUCCCAAAAAAAAAAUCUUUUACUUAUAUCCUGCCAAGAAAUUGCAGAGAUACCUCUCUCUCCCCCUCGGCUUACCAAAAAUUUUUUAUUUUGUUAUGGUAACGGAAAUUUUCAACAACAAACAUUUAAUAUAGCCCCAAGAGAAUUUCAGUAAAUAAAUUUGAAACGACUAACAUUGUGAUUAUAUUAAAAUUCAAAGGGGUUUUAAGAGGGACAUACCAUACUUGUAUUUGCAUUCGAGUAAUCCUUCUCCGUGCGUGUUCAAGGAUUUUUCAAUAAAAUUUGUUUUUAAUAAAACACAACACAAGCGUAAAGAGCAAUGGAUUUAGGCAUAGCACAAGCGCCGAAAAUGACAUCGAAAAAGGAUUCCACAAAGCAUGGAAUGUUGAGGAUAAAAAUGAGAAACUGUAUUGGCCAUAAGGCAGAAGGCUAGAAAAUGAUAUUGGGCUUCUUAGAAUAUUUAAAAACAAAAAGUCUCCAUUAUAUGAAAUUUUGAUGAAAUUUGUAAUAAACAAAAAUUA